rnacentral:piRNA from 3 species
GAAGAAAUUCAAUGAAGCGCGGG